CCUACGGGGGGCUGUAGUGGGGAAUAUUGCACAAUGGGCGAAAGCCUGAUGCAGCAACGCCGCGUGCGGGAUGACGGCCUUCGGGUUGUAAACCGCUUUCAGCAGGGACGAAGGUUUUCUGACGGUACCUGCAGAAGAAGCACCGGCUAACUACGUGCCAGCAGCCGCGGUGAUACGUAGGGUGCGAGCGUUGUCCGGAAUUAUUGGGCGUAAAGAGCUUGUAGGCGGUUCGUUGCGUCGGAAGUGAAAACUCAGGGCUUAACCCUGAGCCUGCUUUCGAUACGGGCGGACUUGAGGGAUGUAGGGGAGAACGGAAUUCCUGGUGGAGCGGUGGAAUGCGCAGAUAUCAGGAGGAACACCAGUGGCGAAGGCGGUUCUCUGGACAUUUCCUGACGCUGAGAAGCGAAAGCGUGGGGAGCAAACA
rnacentral:rRNA from 1 species